GAAGAGAUGCCUGGAGAUGCAUCCGCUG
rnacentral:piRNA from 1 species